rnacentral:misc_RNA from 1 species
CAGAGAACCAUGCCCUUUAGGGUAUAUCUCCCACCCUUUGUCUAUAAUACCUCUGUUGCUUUGGCAGGCCUGUUUUACAACUACUGGCCUUGGCUUUGGCUGGUUAGUGCCUGCCAGAGGACCCCUUAAUUCUUUUAUAUUGCUGUCUGAGUAUUAUAUAAUAUUUA